rnacentral:lncRNA from 1 species
AACUAACAUUUAAUAUAAAUAACACAUGUAUAAACGUCUUAAUGUCUGCUAUUUACUUGGUCUUUUUUUUUAGUCUGCAGGAGGCAGCCGGGAACAUUUCCUUCCUACAGUUUAACUUCGUUUCGAAGAUAAACAUUUUUAAAAUACCGCUUUCCAGGAAAGACUGUCCCAGACGUGGCCAAGAAGAACAUGACCCUGGUCUUUUCAAUUGUAGAAAUUGUUUGGUGAAUUGUACUGGUGCUUGUCUUCAUUUAAUUAUUUUAUGUGAAUUUGUCCACUGUUUUAUGUGGUAAUGUUCUUGCCUCAUGUGGACACUUAAAGCCAGUAUCGGAGCCAACCAAAGUGUGGAGGUUGAUGUCCAUGUGAUGUUAGCAGUGAGCCCUCCCCAAAGCCUCCUAAUGAACUAAAACUGCUAAUGAAAAUGAAUGGAGAUAGGCAAGGGAAAGCCAUGGCUGCUAACCCAAAUAACUGGGAGGUGUG